AGCCUGUGAAUUAUAAGCAUUAGCUAUUUUUUUUUAAUUUGUUGUUCAAGUCACAAACAACUCUUUCGUUUGACAGCAUAUAGGUUUGCUAUAAGGCUGUAUGGGCUAAGCCCUUUGCCUAUUGGCGAAUUUAAAAACUAUGGCAUGGAUAGUUUUGAGAUGUUAUCAAAUAAGUAAUUUAUUUUUUUGGAAAACAAUGCCAGGUGCCAAUGUUGAUACAGAAACUAAACAACGUGAAAAAAUAAGGUGAAAUGUUAAUUGGCAAUAAUUAAGGCAAGCAAUAAAGGACACAAUCAUAUUAGACGGAUGUGUGUGCAGAGAGAGACGAUUCCAAUAUCAGGAGAUCCAACUUGAACUUAUAGAGAAAUGUAAUUUACAAAGAUGAGAAAUAUAUUUGGUUCAUGUUCAAAUAUAUUGGGUAUCUAUAAUACCUUGUGCAAAUCGUAAGCUUCUCUAAGCCAUAACUUGUCUUUUUUAUGGCCUUAAUGCAUAGCCAAAGGCUGGUGUUGCGUGGUUAUGAGAGCCACUAAAUAUGACAACACUGAGGGCACUUUGGAUCCCGAGAUGUGAAAUUGAAGCCUAAAUUGUAUUGUGUAACAGCAGUCCCACCCUUCAAACUGGAAAACAUGGUUACUUCACAGGAGAAAUAGGCCGGAUGACGGUAUAAUGUGGCAGUUAACAUUUAACAGCAAAACAACAUUGCAAAUAUACAUAUAUGAAAUUAAAGCAUCACAUUCGAGCAAUGUGUUCUCCCGUGAUGGUAUAUGGGACAGAGCCAUGGAACAAGCUGUUAGGCAUUUCUCUACUGGGUGGGGUCUGCAACACCGGAGUCUGCAGAAGAACUGGUUUGAUUGACAUAGACAGUGAUGUCACAGAGAAAGUGGAAUUGGGCUGGCCACAUAUGCCAUGACACAGACAAUUGGUGGGGCACAAAAGUACCAGAGUGGAAACAACUUGCAUGGGCCGACAAUCAAUGAGGUGGACCAACAUUCUGGUCAAAAUAGUUGGUAGGGACUGGAUGUGAAAGGCAAGAGACUGAAAAUAAUGGAAUGCAUAUGAAGAGAACUACACCUUGGGUAUAGGGUAUAAGUAGCGUGACCAGAGGUCCCGUUUUGAACAGGACUGUCCCUUUUUAUAAUUAUGAAUCCCGGUGUCCCCGAAAUGAGCUCUGGGACGCAAAAUUGGCUUGAAUGAAAAACCAGCUAUGUCUUUAAACAAAGGGAUAUUGAUGGAUGUGUCUUUAACAGAACUUUCAGGAUUAACUGUAACUGUUAUCGUCUAAUAUUGUUCAAUUGUCUAAUAUUGCUUGCUAAUAAAACGCAAAUAUUUAGGUUUUCUUCUAUGUAACAAGUUUGGACAGGUUCAAUAACCUAUGUUGACCUCUUUUACGAGUGCUCAACAAAAACAUCGCAGCAAACCCACAAAGAUGAUUUUGUUUGUACACGUUAGUGAAAUUAUCUCUAACAAUGUAGAAAUAAACAACAACAAGUGUAAUAUA